AUACGUAGGUGACAAGCGUUAUCCGGAUUUACUGGGCGUAAAGGGCGUGUAGGCGGUCUUGCAAGUCAGAAGUGAAAUUCCUGAGCUCAACUCGGGCGCUGCUUCUGAAACUGCAGGACUUGAGUGCUGGAGGGGAUAGCGGAAUUCCUAGUGGAGCGGUAAAAUGCGCAGAUAUUAGGAAGAACACCGGUGGCGAAGGCGGCGAGCUGGACAGUAACUGACGCUGAGGCGCGAAAGCGUGGGGAGCAAACAGGUUUAGAUACCCUGGUAGUCCGCACAGUAAACGAUGUGCACCAGGUGGCGGGGGGUCGACCCUCGGUACCGUAGCUAACGCAUUAAGUGCACCGCCUGGGGAGUAUGCUCGCAAGGGUGAAACUCAAAGGAAUUGACGGGG
rnacentral:rRNA from 1 species